rnacentral:rRNA from 1 species
UAGUCCACGCCGUAAACGAUGUCUACUAGCCGUUGGGAGACUUGAUUUCUUAGUGGCGCAGCUAACGCACUAAGUAGACCGCCUGGGGAGUACGGCCGCAAGGUUAAAACUCAAAUGAAUUGACGGGGGCCCGCACAAGCGGUGGAGCAUGUGGUUUAAUUCGAUGCAACGCGAAGAACCUUACCAGGUCUUGACAUCCUGCGAAGUUACCAGAGAUGGUUUCGUGCCUUCGGGAACGCAGUGACAGGUGCUGCAUGGCUGUCGUCAGCUCGUGUCGUGAGAUGUUGGGUUAAGUCCCGUAACGAGCGCAACCCUUGUCCUUAGUUGCCAGCACUUUCAGGUGGAACUCUAAGGAGACUGCCGGUGACAAACCGGNGAAGUGGGACGACGUCAAGUCAUCAUGGCCCUUACGACCUGGGCUACACACGUGCUACAAUGGAACGCACAGAGGGCAGGCAAACCCGCGAGGGGGAGCGAAUCCCACAAACGUUCGUAGUCCGGAUCGGAGUCUGCAACUCGAC